GACGAACGCUGGCGGCGUGCCUAAUACAUGCAAGUAGAACGCUGAAGAGAGGAGCUUGCUCUUCUUGGAUUAGUUGCUAACGGGUGAGUAACUCGUAGGUAACCUGCCUUGUAGCGGGGGAUAACUAUUGGAAACGAUAGCUAAUACCGCAUAACAAUGGAUGACACAUGUCAUUUAUUUGAAAUGGGCAAUUGCUCCACUACAAGAUGGACCUGCGUUGUAUUAGCUAGUAGGUGAGGUAAUGGCUCACCUAGGCGACGAUACAUAGCCGAACUGAGAGGGUGAUCGGCCACACUGGGACUGAGACACGGCCCAGAAUCCUACGGGAGGCAGCAGUAGGGAAUCUUCGGCAAUGGGGGCAAAGGUGACCGAGCAACGCCGCGUGAGUGAAGAAGGAUUUCGGAUCGUAAAGCUCUGUUGUAAGUCAAGAAAGGGAGGGAGAGUGGAAAGUUCACACUGUGACGGUAGCUUACCAGAAAGGGACGGCUAACUACGUG
rnacentral:rRNA from 1 species